CGGGGUGCACCAGGCGCGAAAACUUUACAAUGCUGGCAACAGCGAUAAGGGGACCUUGAGUGCCAGGAUACAAUCCUGGCUGUCGUGAUGCCUAAAAAGCAUUAUAUAGCAAGGGCCGGGCAAGACCGGUGCCAGCCGCCGCGGUAACACCGGCGGCUCGAGUGGUAACCGCUAUUAUUGGGUCUAAAGGGUCUGUAGCCGGCUUGGUUAGUCUCUUGGGAAAUCCGGCAGCUUAACUGUCGGGCUUUCAGGAGAUACUGCCAGGCUCGAGACCGGGAGAGGUGAGAGGUACUUCAUGGGUAGGGGUGAAAUCUUGUAAUCCUUGAAGGACCACCAGUGGCGAAGGCGUCUCACCAGAACGGAUCUGACGGCAAGGGACGAAAGCUAGGGGCACGAACCGGAUUAGAUACCCGGGUAGUCCUAGCCGUAAACGAUACUCUCUAGGUGUCGGCCACGGUGCGACCGUGGUCGGUGCCGUAGGGAAGCCGUUAAGCGAGCCACCUGGGAAGUACGGCCGCAAGGCUGAAACUUAAAGGAAUUGG
rnacentral:rRNA from 1 species